rnacentral:sRNA from 2 species
CCAACACAUUCUUAGAUCUCUCUCACCCAACCGCCAGCCUUCUUGCUGCGUAUAUUCCAGGGCAGCACGCUUUUGCCGCCGAAGGACAUUAGAGCGAAGCAUUUAUAUACCCAAGCACCUAAGUACUACGCAGUAUAUAACACUUGAGAGGAUAGCCCUGCUAUUCAUUUUGUGUUCACUGAUUGACCAUGUCUUACAAUUGACGCGGCAAAAUGAGUCUGGCGGACUUUAUUGGUUUUGUAUUUUUUAAUUCUGACUCUCUGGUAUACCCCAUAUCGUCGUAUCUAAAAAAAGUAGUUACUAAACAAUGAUGAUGAUGAUGCUUUACGUCGAUGAACGGUAAAGGAAAUUAAAACAAGCAGUGUGUCUUCCACGGAUAAUGUAUCCCUUGUUAACCGAGCCCCUUUUAUUGUCACGCUCAUCGUUUAUUUUAUUAUUAUUUUGGCUUCAUUAUGCAUUAGGGGCAGACAUCAAUGCAGUGCCCAUGCUACUGCCACCAGAAUCGGAUAUGGAUGUGAAUAGAAGUCCAGCAUCAGUUUCUAUCUUGGGAACAUGGCAUGUUCUUGGUCCGUUUAAAACUGGCACGAGAGAAGCAACAUGGGGCGCAGAUCCGCUCGAGGUACUCGGCGGAUUCCGCAAUAUUUCGUAUGACUUCGACCCGGCUGCUAGAUUCAGCAGUGCCUUGGGUACUAACGGAACCGUUGGCUGGUCUGUCCUGGGGUUGAUCGAGUCAGAACAGGGCAAUCAUGCAUCUGCCAAGGCAAAGGUUGACCUCGACAUCGGUUUUCCGGAUGUAGACUGGGAGUUUCUCCGGUCUGUUUAUGGC